GACGAACGCUGGCGACGUGCUUAACACAUGCAAGUCGAACGGACAGACAGAGAGCUUGCUCUCUUGAAGUUAGUGGCGAACGGGUGAGUAACGCGUAAUCAACCUGCCCUUCAGAGGGGGAUAACAACGGGAAACCGUUGCUAAUACCGCGUACGAUUCAUGAACGGCAUCGUUUAUGAAUGAAAGGUGGCCUCUAUGUAUAAGCUAUCGCUGAAGGAGGGGAUUGCGUCUGAUUAGCUAGUUGGAGGGGUAACGGCCCAUCAAGGCAAUGAGCAGUAGCCGGUCUGAGAGGAUGAACGGCCACAUUGGGACUGAGACACGGCCCAAACUCCUACGGGAGGCAGCAGUGGGGAAUCUUCCGCAAUGGACGAAAGUCUGACGGAGCAACGCCGCGUGAGUGAUGAAGGUCUUCGGAUUGUAAAGCUCUGUUAAUCGGGACGAAAGAGUUCUGCGUGAAUAAUGCAGAAAAGUGACGGUACCGGAAUAGAAAGCCACGGCUAACUACGUGCCAGCCGCCGCAGUAA
rnacentral:rRNA from 1 species